ACAUGCAAGUCGAGGGGCAUCAGGAAGAAAGCUUGCUUUCUUUGCUGGCGACCGGCGCACGGGUGAGUAACACGUAUCCAACCUGCCCUUUACUCGGGGAUAGCCUUUCGAAAGAAAGAUUAAUACCCGAUGGCAUAAUGAUUCCGCAUGGUUUGAUUAUUAAAGGAUUCCGGUAAAGGAUGGGGAUGCGUUCCAUUAGGUUGUUGGUGAGGUAACGGCUCACCAAGCCUUCGAUGGAUAGGGGUUCUGAGAGGAAGGUCCCCCACAUUGGAACUGAGACACGGUCCAAACCCCUACGGGAGGCAGCAGUGAGGAAUAUUGGUCAAUGGGCGCUAGCCUGAACCAGCCAAGUAGCGUGAAGGAUGAAGGCUCUAUGGGUCGUAAACUUCUUUUAUAUAAGAAUAAAGUGCAGUAUGUAUACUGUUUUGUAUGUAUUAUAUGAAUAAGGAUCGGCUAACUCCGUGCCAGCAGCCGCGGUAAUACGGAGGAUCCGAGCGUUAUCCGGAUUUAUUGGGUUUAAAGGGAGCGUAGGUGGACUGGUAAGUCAGUUGUGAAAGUUUGCGGCUCAACCGUAAAAUUGCAGUUGAUACUGUCAGUCUUGAGUACAGUAGAGGUGGGCGGAAUUCGUGGUGUAGCGGUGAAAUGCUUAGAUAUCACGAAGAACUCCGAUUGCGAAGGCAGCUCACUGGACUGCAACUGACACUGAUGCUCGAAAGUGUGGGUAUCAAACAGGAUUAGAUACCCUGGUAGUCCACACAGUAAACGAUGAAUACUCGCUGUUUGCGAUAUACAGUAAGCGGCCAAGCGAAAGCAUUAAGUAUUCCACCUGGGGAGUACGCCGGCAACGGUGAAACUCAAAGGAAUUGACGGGGGCCCGCACAAGCGGAGGAACAUGUGGUUUAAUUCGAUGAUACGCGAGGAACCUUACCCGGGCUUAAAUUGCAGUGGAAUGAUGUGGAAACAUGUCAGUGAGCAAUCACCGCUGUGAAGGUGCUGCAUGGUUGUCGUCAGCUCGUGCCGUGAGGUGUCGGCUUAAGUGCCAUAACGAGCGCAACCCUUAUCUUUAGUUACUAACAGGUCAUGCUGAGGACUCUAGAGAGACUGCCGUCGUAAGAUGUGAGGAAGGUGGGGAUGACGUCAAAUCAGCACGGCCCUUACGUCCGGGGCUACACACGUGUUACAAUGGGGGGUACAGAAGGCAGCUAGCGGGUGACCGUAUGCUAAUCCCAAAAUCCUCUCUCAGUUCGGAUCGAAGUCUGCAACCCGACUUCGUGAAGCUGGAUUCGCUAGUAAUCGCGCAUCAGCCACGGCGCGGUGAAUACGUUCCCGGGCCUUGUACACACCGCCCGUCAAGCCAUGGGAGCCGGGGGUACCUGAAGUACGUAACCGCAAGGAUCGUCCUAGGGUAAAACUGGUGACUGGGGCUAAGUC
rnacentral:rRNA from 1 species